rnacentral:lncRNA from 1 species
GGUGAGCAGCUUUGCUCUGCCACGCUCCAUGAUGUCUUGCCGCACCCCAAGACCCAGACAACCCAGCCGAGCAACCAUGGACUCUGGAAUUGAUGGAGCCCCAAGCAAGGCAGCAGCCAGCUGGGACAACGGGAAGGCCUGCCCUCUCCUGCCUCGGUCCCUCGGGCUACAUAAACACAUGGAGGGCCAGGGGGCCGUGGGUGCCAGACACCCAGAGUCAAGGCCUGGGAGAAAGCUUGUGGAAGUCUGCACAGAGCUCCAGCAAGCACGGUGACCAUCCUAGCCGAGAGUGGGGGCCCAUGGGUGGAAUCACAGAGCCUUUAACCCUGAGGACGCUGGAGCCAGAGCAGAAGGUGAGCAGGGUCAUAAAAGCUCCACCCACAGUUCCUGAGAGGAGGCAGGAGCUGUGAAAAUGCUCGGCUCGUCCCCAGGCACGGACAUCCUGGUGAGGUGGGCCAUUGGUCUCCAGCUAGAUCCCAAGGCAAGAGAACCCAGGAGAGGGAGGAAAAGGGUUUGGUCCAGGGAAGCAGCUGAACCCCCCAAAAGAAAUGCACACAGAGCAUAGGGUGACAGGGAGCAGAUGCUGAGGAGACUGUUUGAAAUGGCCUGUCCAUCUCAGAAUGUCACCCAAGCAGGUGCAGCACGGGAAACAAGCGUGUGGCCCUGGGUUCAAAGCUGGGCCCAGCCCCUUCCAGUCAUGUGACCUUUGAGUUUG